rnacentral:lncRNA from 1 species
AAAAUUCUAGUUCUAGUUGAUCUAGUAAUUUAUUUUUGCAUCUCCUUCCUAUCAUUGUAAGGGACUCUGGAGCAUAUAAAUAACCUCAUAAAAUAAAUGGAACCUUCUUUGCUACAUCUACUAGCUGUUGAGAGUGCAUCCAGUCUCAGAAAUAAUUUACAUAAAAAACUUUCAUGCACUGCCUCACCAUGCAUGGAGAGAAGCUUUUCCUUUUUGCUUUUCUAAUGAACCGUAAGUUGGAUUGUUUCGCUUUCUACGUACCUCUCAUUAAGUAAUAGAACGUUUCCCGUCCUUGAUGCUAUCAUCACUCAUGGUUUCUUCUUAGGAACUACGACUCUAAACUCAUAGAAGUAAUGAGAGUCUAUCACCAGAUCGUUGUUUAAUAAUGCACCGAUAUCAGAUGACAUUCACACAUCAAUGAGGCUGUGCAUUUCACAAACAUUGGUUCCUUUGGUAAUAUUUAAUGACAAAAUUUAACUUACGUACGACUGUUAUUUCAUAGAGAAGUUGCAGGCUUUGAACUGUGGUUACAGCACUUUCAAGUUAUUCUGCUUCAGAUAAUUCUACCUUUAGUAAACCUUUUCAGGUAAGAAGUGAUCAAAUUGUAGCUUUCAGUUCACUUCUUGCAGGUUUCUCCAUUUCAUACAGUUGCCAUAAGCUCAGUUUUAGAAUUCUUUAUCACCAUCAUCAAGAUAUACAAUCAGCAAACACCUCCCUCAGGUGCAACAUUUAUCCUUCCCAACCUCCUUUCCUCUUCAAUGA